CAGUAAUGCAGCCGCCCUGCAAUGGAGCAGCUCCCUGCAAUGGAGUUGCUAUUACAAUGGAGCUGCUGCUGUUGCAGUGUGGUGAAGCUUCUCCAGUGGAGCAUCUCCCGCAGCAGCAGGAACAGUUCAAGCCUCCACCAUCUCCUCAGGCAGCGUGCCCCAGAUUGCAUCCACCCUCUGGAUUUUCAGCAUCUGCGAUUCUUUACUUUACACAUUUAUUUUUUGUGACCUGCCAACAAUGGAUCAAAGGAAAUCAGAUGCGUGAUGUCGUAAUCUACUGGGAUUCAAGUAAUUAACUGUGGAAGUCAGAGCACCAGUUGUGACUUUGAGGCGUGGUGUUGUGUUGGAAGCACACAUAUGGCCUGGGACAGAACACUUGCAUUAGAUGCAUAAAGAAGUUGCUAUGGAGACGGUGCAGGACAUUCCCCCCGGCUACGGCAGGGUUCCCUUCCUGGGAACCGUUCCCAAACGGAACAUGCGGCCGUGAACAGAGUUCCCACACGGCAGAAGAUGCCUGACGCCCAGCAGCAGCCGGUAAAUCCAUCCCACAUCUCCCAGACACUCGCUCAUGUGUACGGGCUGUACUUUAAUGUGUCCGUAAGCUGGGGAUGACCUACACCUCGGGGUCUGGACAACCAUUAAGGAGAAUACAACAAAGAAAUAAUGACAGAAAAUGCUUGAAAUACUCAUCCAGUCGGGCAGCAUCUUGUGGAGAAAGAAACAGUUCAUGUUUCACGCUCAUGUAGAAACAGACCCUUCGGCCCAACUUGUCCAUGCUGACCAAGAUGCCUCCUCUAAGCUGAUCCUAUUUGCCCAUAUUUCACCCAUAGCCCUCUGACCUUUCUUAUCCAUGUACAAAUGUCUUCGGAAAAAUGUAUUUUCAGAUCAAUGACCUUCAUCGGAACUGGCUGCAGUCACAUGAUGUGGCCAGUUCUGAUACAAACUGCAAAGGCUGGUUAUCUGAAAUUGCCCAUAUUGAUGACGACCUCAAGGAUUGCACCACACCCAGACGUGGUGCUGCUCCACAAGAUUUUGUCGACUUUGUUGGAACAAUGAGAAUGGUUACAUUUGGGGGCGGCACGAUGGCGCAGCGAUAGAGUUGCUGCCUUACAGCGCCAGAGACCCGGUUUGAUCCUGACUACGGGUUCUAUCUGUACGGAGCUUGUACGUUCUCCCCGUGACCUGCAUGGAUUUUCUCCGAGGUCUUUGGUUUCCUCCCACACACCAAAGACGUACAGGUUUACUGUAAAUUGUCCCUAGUGUGUGUAGGAUAGUGUUAAUGUGCGGGAAUUAUUGGUCGCAGCGGACUCGAUAGGCCAACUGCCUGUUUCCGCGCUGUAUCUCUAAACUAAACUAAACAAUGCAGAUGAACUAAUAUUUUAAUAUGCAAUAGCCUGGAAAAUCUGCCAUUCAGUAACAAAUUCCCAAGUGCACCAGAUUUAUGAGUAUGUGUGCACUGUGAGAACUAGUGUGUAUCCAAUGGUAUUUCUGGAGGACCCCUGAAUAUGUGAAGCUCUUCCCACAGUCAGAACAUUUGUGUGGCCUCUCUCCGGUUUGGAUCGACAGGUGUCGGUGAAGGCUCCCUGCCCACGUGAAACACUUCCCACAUUCGACACAUUCAUGCCAUCUCCCCUUUCUCGUUCUUGUUGAUCACCAGAUUUUCCAAUUCCACUCCUUCCUUCAGAUGGUGUGAACGGACUCUGCCCACGUUUACAUUGUGAAUCUGGGUUAUCCAGCUGACAUUGGUCUGGGUGCUUUAGGAUGCCUUCUUAAAUGCCGUGUAAGGAACUCUGCCGUGGUAAAUGCAACAGUGCACUGAGGGCAGGGAUGACAGUCUCCUUGGGUCAUUCCUGACUUGUGGCAACAAAAAAGUUGAUUUAUCAAUCGUCUUGUUGAUGAACUGAGUGCGACAACCAGUCUGCAUCACAACAGGACCGAUCCCGCACCGUCAGAAUAUCCAAGUGGGGGCAGUUUAUCCCAGUCAGAAGAUGCAGUCUGUUUCUGUGUCUGUAUCUUGACGUCACGGGUUGUCGCAUAUAUGAGGUGGGUCAUGUGCAAAGUCGCAAUUAAAUAUUAAAGUGGGCCUUGGAAGUCAGCAUCUUAAUAUUGAUUGUUUCUAGCAUGGUCUUGAAAGUCUUGAUGUCGGGUGCAGUGCGAAUGUCAUGGUGGAGAUGAUUAUAUUUGUGAAUUGUCUUUGGGUGCAGUUAAUACCUAUAACAGUCUUUAUUUGUUGGGAUGAUGUUUUAUUUGAUAACCCCCGAUUGCCAGGUCUUUGGUUGACUGGAUGAAUUUGUCGAUUGAUGAUGACUCUUGAUGUUGCUUGGAAUAAACCCGUGCAUUUCAUUA